GGAGUCUGGACCGUGUCUCAGUUCCAAUGUGGGGGACCUUCCUCUCAGAACCCCUAGCCAUCGUCGCCUUGGUGGGCCGUUACCUCACCAACUAGCUAAUCGGACGCGAGCUCACCCCAAACCGAGUCUCCCCCUUUACCCAAGACGAUGCCAUCUCGUGGUCUUAUGCGGUAUUAGCACCUGUUUCCAAGUGUUAUCCCCCUGUCUGGGACAGAUUGCUCACGCGUUACUCACCCGUCCGCCGCUAGAACAUGAUUCUUUCUGCCGAAGCUUAUUCCCCUCAUGUCCCCGCUCGACUUGCAUGUGUUAAGCACGCCGCCAGCGUUCGUC
rnacentral:rRNA from 1 species